rnacentral:tRNA from 1 species
CAUUAGAUGACUGAAAGCAAGUAUUGGUCUCUUAAACCACAUCAUGAUAUUUAGCAAAUAUCUCUAAUGA